AUCCCGGGGAUGUCGCGCGGCCACGCUGAUGCACUGCGGGCGGGCGCAGCGCGAGCCUCCCGAGCCGCCGCCGCGCCGCUCCGGACCCCGGAUUCCGCUUCUCGCCGCCGGCCGCCGGCCCUCCUCGCCGCCUCCUCCGGGCCCCCUCUUUCGGGCGGAAUUCCAAAUGCCGGCGGGCCGCGGCCAGCGCCCCGGAGAGGGGGCAGCGCGCCACCGCGGACAGGCGCGGACCCGGAGGCCGGCAGGACGCGGGGGCUCCACGGGCCUCGCCUCUACCCCGCCUCCCGGAAGAUUCAAUGGGGGCAGAGGCGGUGUUGGUUUGCAAACUGGCCCCUGGACACAGUCGGCAAGGAGAGACCAAGAAAGAAGCAGACCUCUCCAGAUGGGCCAAUGGGGGAGACAAAGACGAGCCAAAUGAUUGUAGCAGUGGAAAACAGAGCGUGUGCACCUGGCCUUGAGGAGAGGGAGCUUGGCAGCUUUAGGAACAUAGCCUUGUUGUUCAGCCUGCAGCAGGACAGCCAGAUCCCCAGGGAGAUUGGAGCGAUUCCCCCUCCCCCCACAGAGAGAUGCAAAGUAAUUCACCCAUCCUGGUGAGAUGUCUUACUGCAAAUUCCAGUAGAUGAUGCAUGAUGGGGGCUUGGUGUUUUCAGCAGUAUAGCACAUUGAUCCAUGGAGAAAACUACAGAAACCAGUCCACACAGAGAAGACUUUUAGGGUUCAGCUGCCCAUUGAUCUGAGCCCCGGAACGGAUAUAACUUGCUGCACAGCCUUUGGAAAGCCAUGUAACAUCUCUGCGCCAUUUCCUUGUUUGUGCUAAAUUAUUGCUGAGGCCUCUUCCUGCACCAGCUUUCUAUGCCACUGCAAUUUGACACAAUCCUUGACCAAAUCAUAAAUACCUUGUUAAUGGGAUAAAAAUGAGUUUGAAUCUGGGAUUCUGGUCAUUAACCCCAUGUCACCUUCUGUGAGAGCGCUACGAUGACAGGGUCAGGUGAAUCCAAAUCACAUGUUAAACAUGCAGGUGUCUGUUCCAUCCUCUCUCCACACCCUACACCUUCACUGAAUCAGAAUCUCUAGGGGUGGGGCUUGGAAGGCUCUCUUUCCUUUAUGAGAUUACAGAGGGCAGAAUGGGGACCCCACCCAAACCAGCCAGGUUCCAGGAGCUCCUCCUAUCUAUCAGGCACGCCAAGCUAUUUUCCAGAGUUUUGCACUUGGCAUUUCCCUUGGCCCGGAAAGGUUUCCCCCAUGGCUGGCUUCUUCUCAUGUGUCACCUGCUCACAGAGGGUCUUGGCUGGCCUCCAUCUCUCCACCCUCCACCCCACUCACUAACCCAUCACUUGUUUCCUUUUCUUCUCAGCACUAGUCACUUUUUGAAAUUCAUCUCCCCUCCUUGUGCAUUAUCUAUUACCCCUACUGGAAUAGGAGGCCCUACUCCACCCACACCCUACCCUCCGGGGGCAGAGACCCUGCCCGGCUUGUUGGAAGCUGGACCCCCACAUGAGAGACCUGGGAGGUGCUCUGUGAUGUAAGAAUUCCCUUAGCCCCAAGGUUGAGGCUGCUUGUCUGAGAUGCAGGAAUGGGGACCCUCUUCCGACCCUGAGAAACCUGAACCUUGUCCUGAAACCAGUUCCCGAGAGUGGCGAGGGGCAUCUCUUACCCCCCAGCCGCAUCCACAGCACUGAGGAAGACCCCAGUGGCACCAGCAGGCGGCCAGGUGCCCGGAGAACCUCAGCUGGGGUAUUUGAUGGAAAAUACUAACUCAGAGGCUGUUGACAAGGUUCUCCUCCCUUCGCGGUCUAGCAAAAAAAUGGGUGCUGGUGGAAGCUGAGGUCAGGUGUGAAUGGAGUAGUGCUUACCUAGCCCACAAAAGGGCCGUUCCAUUUUCACUCCCCCUGACCAAAGACAGCUGACCUUGACAUUUCCCAUACCAGCUUUUCUCUACUUUCCUAAUCUGAUGGGAUAAUGAUGUCAUAAAGAAAUAACUUAAACAGUAGGUGUUUAAUAAAUGCUCGCUGAUGUAAAAUUAGGAAGACAAUCGCAAGAGGACCUCCAAACUCUUCCUUACCCUCAAUCAGUUUUUUGAUAGCCAAAAAUUAGUUUGUAAUAUGAGCACUCACCCCCUUAGUACGGAAUCAAUGGCUUCUUUCUCUUGUUUGCUUUCAAUGAGACACAUAUACCUGUAGCCCCUUAGUCACCUAAGGCUCCAGGUGGGCUCAGGAGGGGCUCCAGGACCACACCCGACCUCUCCAGUCCCUCUGUUUAAAGACACAGAAGUUCCAUCUCGAACAAAGCAGGUGUGCUUCAAAUCUACCCCAUGCGUAAAACGAGGUACCCAGGACCCUGAGGCGCUGGCUCCUGAUUUAAUGUUGUCAUUUCCCUUCUCCGUGGGGCGUGAAAGUCCCCUGACCCCACCGCUCCCUGUCCAACCUUUGUAUUAUGUUUGCCUUCUCUAAAUAUUCUUUUUUGCGUGUGUCCAUCUUUAUGCGCCUUCCUCUUUGAGUCUGCCUCUGCUCCUCUUUCCCCUGGGAUAGAAGUAGGAGAAAGAACCCAUCGCUGUUUUCUCUGUCUCUCACCCCCCCAGGGCCAACUGUUUCACGCAUGAAGACAAAUGAAGUCAAUCAGCUAUAGACAGGCUUUCAACAAAAAUUUUAUGGGCACCACCUUGGCCAUAGGUGAGCUAGUAGCAACAGGAAUGCCAGGGAAAGCCCACCAGUGCCUAAGGGUUAGUCCUGCCCUGAUUCCAAGGGGAACUUCCUCCCAUUACUGGUUAGAACUGCUUCUUUUUUUUCUUUUUUUAAUGUUCAUUUAUUUUUGAGAGAGAGAGCAUGAGCAGAGGCAGGGCAGAGAAGGAGGGAGAGAGAGAGAAUCCUAAGCAGGCUCUGUGCUGUCAGCACAGAGCCCAUGAGGGGCUGGAAAUCACAAGUUGUGAGACCAUGACCUGAGCCAAAACCAAGAGUCAGGUGCUUGACCAACUGAGCCACUCAAGCUCCCCUAGAAAUGAUUCUGAUCUUUGGGAACAAGUGGUUGGUGGAGGUGAUAUUUUAUUCCUACCUAUUCAAUUUGCUUAUUGCAACCUCCUUGAACCCUCAUGAACCCUCCCUCGCCCAUCCACCCACCUUCUUAUAUCAGUCCUCCCUCCCCCCUGCUCCCCUCUCUCUUCACUCAUCCCCACUUCUUCUAAGAAGUGGCUCAGUGUGUAUGGAUUGGAGUGUGCCUCAUCUGUGUACCCCUUUGCGUGGGAUGACUUUUCUGUAUCUCCGGCAUUCAUUUUAAGUCAAUUUACUCCUUUACCUCUGUCAUAAAGCAAUGAGAAAUAAAAUUAAUGAAAUGGGAAUAAGAAAGAGAAAAGGCAGGAUUGAGAAAAAAGGAGCAAGGCAUUGUUGUUAUAAUCACGUUCAUCUUUUUCUUGCAUUUAUACACGUUCGACUAUAAAUUCAUUACAUACAUGUUCACGCAGGCAACCCAGUGGCAGGCACCACAGGGGAAUAAGGAAGUCAUGAAAGGCACAGUCCCUUCUCUCUUGGAGCUUUGUGUCUCCCUGCUGAGGCACUAAUAAUAAUUUGUAUCAAUACCACACUCGACGUCACGUGUCCAGCAGGCUUUAUCUUACAUGAUUUCCAUGAGCAGAAGAGGGGUCGUGGUCUCUGUGGCAUGAAAGACGACACUGAGGCUCUGAGAGUUGGAGGACAUUGAGAAGACAGUAGGAGCAUCUGGGGCUCAUGUCCUGGCUCCCUGACUCCAGAUUUUCUGUCCUUUCCACUCUGCCAUCAUUCUAAGCAAGCAUCCUCUGCGGACAUGUCACAGAGCUAGGACACAGUGAAGCUGGGCAGAGUCUACUGACCGUGACAAGAGGAGCAGGCUCCAGGGAAGAGAAAACCAGUGAGGGCUGGAGAGAGAGAAGAGACAGGCAAGGAACAAUGGACGGGAGGUGGAGGCUGGAAGAAGGUCCAGAACCUGGCCAGGGGGUGAUACCGCGGAGGUCGCUUCAGCCCCUGUGUGUACCCAUGUGUCAUCCAGAAGGCCACUGAAGAGCCACUGGAGGCAGAUUUUCAAGAGCUUUUGUAGAAGGAGUGAGAUGGAGGUGUCUUUUCACUCUCUCUGUGUAUAUAUAAAUAUAAACAUAUACAUAUGUA